CGCGGAGGGAAGAAUCGGGAGGGCGGCCAGAGCACGAAGUCUGGCUGCCAUGAUGCCACCAUGCUGGAGGGACCACAUGGACAUACCAUGAAGAUAUAUAGAGAAAUGCUUUAGAAACCUCAGCUGUUCCGUCUUUCAGCUAUUUGAGUCUUCCUAGGCCAAGGGCCAGAUAUAUAAACAAAGAAGACUUGAUGGUGACUCCAGCCUUAGUCAACGUCUAACUGCAACCACGUGAGAGACUUUCAACCAGAACUAUGCAGUGGAGCUGCUUCUGAACUCCUGACCCAUAGAAACCAUGAAUGAUAAUAAAUGAUUGCUGUUUUCCUUAAAUGUUUGGUCGCAUUUCUCAGUGAAAUCAUCUGUGCCUAGAAUUUUCUUUCUAGAAAAGUUUCAAACUCCAAAUUCAAUUCUUA
rnacentral:lncRNA from 10 species